rnacentral:rRNA from 1 species
GUAGGUGGCAAGCGUUGUCCGGAAUUAUUGGGCGUAAAGCGCGCGCAGGCGGUUUUUUAAGUCUGAUGUGAAAGCCCACGGCUCAACCGUGGAGGGUCAUUGGAAACUGGAGAACUUGAGUACAGAAGAGGAAAGCGGAAUUCCACGUGUAGCGGUGAAAUGCGUAGAGAUGUGGAGGAACACCAGUGGCGAAGGCGGCUUUCUGGUCUGUAACCGACGCUGAGGCGCGAAAGCGUGGGGAGCAAACAGGGAUUAGAUACCCUGGUAGCCCACGCCGUAAACGAUGAGUGCUAAGUGUUAGGGGGUUUCCCGCCCCUUAGUGCUGCAGCUAACGCAUUAAGCACUCCGCCUGGGGAGUACGCCGCAAGGCUG